rnacentral:misc_RNA from 1 species
GGUCGGAAGUUGCUCACCUUCAUCUGUUGGAAGAGCUUGAACGCUGCAUCAAGGCGUCCUGACUUAGCUAGACUUGGAAUCAUUAACUCAUAACUCGAUGCAUCUAAUGAACACCCGGCUUUUUCCAUGUUCUCAUAUAUCUCAAAUGCCUUGUAUGGCAAACCAUUGUUUAAGAACACGGUGAUAAGGGAAUUGUAUGUCCCGGUAUCAACUAUGCAACCAGACUCUUGAAUUUUCUUAAAACAACAGAAUGCUACCUCAAAUUUCUCUGCCUUAGCUAGGUACUGGAUGACUCUAUUAUACGCAUUAAACAAAGACGACGCCCCAUUCUCGCCUGAAUCAAGAACCAUAUCAUCGA